GCUGUGAUGGCCGAGGGGUGAAGGCGUUGGACUCGAAAUCCAGUAGGGAAUUCUCUGCGCAGGUUCGAAUCCUGCCCACAGUU
rfam:Manacus vitellinus contig47094, whole genome shotgun sequence.